rnacentral:piRNA from 1 species
UUGGCACUCGAACCUCUUGGAAUAG